rnacentral:lncRNA from 1 species
GGCUCCGAAGAGCGGCCUGAGAAGUCAUCCUCACCCUCCGGACCUGAUCCAGGGCCAAAGGGCCAAAGGCGGGAAUAGGAAGCCUGCUGCUAGGGACAGCUGCCCGAGGUACCACUGGCCCUCUGCCUGCACAACGCAUCCAGAAUGCAGCCCACUCCCCCCAAGAAGCCCCUCCAGGCUCCAGCCUCUGCCCUGAGACCCUGGUCAGAUCAGCCCCACCCCAGCUCGGGACCCUGCCGCAGCUGACACCCUGCUGGAAGGAAGCCCCCCGGCUGCCUUCCCCUCCCGCACCCUGGCUGCUAGGCCCCCGGCCUGGCCCUGUGCAUCCCCCUGCCCGGCUCGGCUCUGUCGCCGGUGGACAUCCAUGGUCAGCCCGUGCGGCCGCCGUCCUCGCAUGGAGGGGCCCCUGACCCCCAGCCCGCACCACCGCGGGGCGUGUCCUGCGACCAUCCAACCCUGGAGGCCGGCCUCGGUCUGUGUCCUCCUGGGAGCCCCCAGGGCUGUACGCAGCACGGGCGCAAAGAGGCGCUGAGGGGCGGCCACAGAAUGGGGGAGGAGCGCUGACUCUUGUGUCCGGCGCUGGCGCUGAGGCGGGGCCCAGCACGGGAGGCCCUCGGUGUGGCUGGGGAGCCCAGGCCUGGCCCCUCGCUGCCCCACGUCUCGAGGGCACCCAAGUCAGGACCCCCAGGGCCCGCCCAGCUAUCCUCGCCGGCCCCACAGGCCUGCCGGUGGCCCCUUCGUGAGAACCCUUGCCAACUUCGCCUUUGACAGGAAGCACGGGGCUGGCUGGGCCAGCGGAGUGGGGUGUGCAGCCCCCGGGGCCGCUUGCCCAGGGCCCCUGCUGGCCUCCAUCUCUCGCUCCUCGUCAGGCGGGUGGCGCUGGGGAGACGGCCAGGCCUUGGCUGUGUGCAGAGGACAAGGACAUGCUGCUGGGGCAGCUCUGGGACUGCCCACCCUGGGGGCCAGCCUCCCGAUGGCCCCGCCCCAGGGGCUGGCCUCCUGGUGGGCCUUGUCCUGGGGCCAGCCUGGUGGGCCCUGCCCUGGUGGCCAGCCUGGUGGGCCUCGCCUUGGGGGCCCACACAGCCCAAGGCCCAUCCCUGCUCUGCGGCCUCUGCGGCCUCCGGGUUGAGCCAGGCUCCUCACUGCCAACCCCUCACCCUCCGCCCUCCCAAGCCCCGGGGCGACUCCACACCGCGGGCCGUGUCCAGGCUGUGGGGCCAGAGAGGGGCUCCCUGGAGCUGAGCUUUCCUCUGGGCGCUUGCCCAGGGCUGAGAGGGCACAGCUGGCCCUGCAGGAGCCCUGAGCCUGAGCAGGGAACUCAGGAUCCAUGCAAGUGCAAAAAAUCUGCCCCCCAAAGGCUCAGGAUAUGGAACAAUGGACCGGUUCCAAAUUGGGAAGGGAGUACGUCAAGGCUGUAUAUCGCCACCAUGCUUAUUUAACGUCUAUGCAGAGCACAUUAUGAGAAACGCCAGGCUGGAUGAAUCACAAGCUGGAAUCAAGAUUGCCAGAAGAGAUGUCAAUAACCUCAGAUAGGCAGGUGACACCACACUUAUGAAGAAAGCAAAGAGGAGCUAAAGAGCCUCUUGAUGAAAGUGAAAGAGGAGAGUGAAAAAGUAGGCUUAAAGCUCAACAUUCAAAAAAUUAAGAUUAUGGCAUCCAGUCCCAUCACUUCAUGGUGAAUAGACGGGGAAAAAGUGGAAACAGACUAUUCUCUUGGGCUCCAAAAUCAAUGGGCACAGUGAGUGCAGCCUUGAAAUUAAAAGACACUUGCUCCUUGGAAGAAAAGCUAUGACCAACAAAGACAGCAUAUUAAAAAGGAGAGAUGUUAAUUUGCCAACAAAGGUCCGUAUAGUCAAAGCUUUGGUUUUUUCCAGUGGUCAUGUAUGGAUGUGAGAGUUGUACUAUAAAGAAGGCUGAGCGCCGAAGAAUUGAUGCUUUUGAACUGUGGUGUUGGAGAAGACUCUUGAGAGUUGCUUGGACUGCAAGGAGAUCAAACCAGUCCAUCCUGAAGGAAACCAACCCUGAAUGUCCAUUGGAAGGACUGAUGUUGGUGGUGAAGCUCCAAUACUUGGCCACCUGAUGCGAAGAACUGACUCACUGGAAAAGACCCUGAUGCUGGGGAAGAUUGAAGGCAGGAGGAGAAGGGACGACAGAGGAUGAGAUGGUUGGAUGGCAUCACCGACUCAAUGGACGUGAGUUUGAGCAAGCUCCGGGAGUUGGUGAUGGACAGGGAGGCCUGGAGUGCUGCAGUCCAUGGGGUCACAGAGUUGGACACGACUGAGCAACUGAACAGUAACACACGGGCUUAGGAAUGCUCCUUUUUUCUUGGCCUAAAUAAAUCCACUGUGAAAAAGGUGUGUCUUCUCA